AUUGAACGCUGGCGGCAUGCUUUACACAUGCAAGUCGAGCGGCAGCGCGGGGGCAACCCUGGCGGCGAGCGGCGAACGGGUGAGUAAUACAUCGGAACGUACCCGAGGAGUGGGGGAUAAGCCCGGCGAAAGCCGGAUUAAUACCGCAUACGAUCUUAGGAUGGAAAAGUGGGGACCGCAAGGCCUCACGCUUUUGGAGCGGCCGAUGUCCGAUUAGCUAGUUGGUGGGGU
rnacentral:rRNA from 1 species